GACGAACCUUGCUAACGUUAUUCGGAAUUACUGGGCGUAAAGGGUGCGUAGGCGGCUCGGCACGUCCGUUGUGAAAUCGCCCGGCUCAACUGGGCGGGGUCGGCGGAUACGGCCGAGCUGGAGCAAGCUAGGGGGUAAUGGAAUUCCCGGUGUAGUGGUGGAAUGCGUAGAUAUCGGGAGGAACACCAGUGGCGAAGGCGGUUACCUGGAGCUUUGCUGACGCUGAUGCGCGAAACGUGGGGAGCGAUCCGG
rnacentral:rRNA from 1 species